CAUCAGCUGAUUAGCCGGUCCCCCUUACAGACCUACGCCGACGCUCUUCCCUCCGCAAACAUUGUCGGCAGAAAGGGCAAGAUGGACGAGGAAGGCUUGCGACAAAGACAACCGAGAGAACCUGGGAGCGACACGGAGCCUCUGAUACGGACCGCGUCACCGAGACAGAGCGUGUCGCUGUGGGAAGCCAUCAAGUCUGGCCUGGUCAUGUCACUGGUGGGCCUCGUCCUGCUUCUGGGGGGCGUCGGACUGCAGUUCUGGAAUGAGGGGCGGGCCGUGGACCGAGCGCGCGCGCUGAACGAGGGUCUGAGCAGCGCUAUUACCAUCACGGCACCA